rnacentral:rRNA from 1 species
UAGAGUUUGAUCCUGGCUCAGGAUGAACGCUAGCGGCAGGCUUAACACAUGCAAGUCGAGGGGCAGCACGGGUAGCAAUAUCUGGUGGCGACCGGCGCAAGGGUGCGUAACGCGUGAGCAACAUGCCCGUAUCAGGGGGAUAAUCCAGGGAAACUUGGUCUAAUACCCCAUAGCAAUUAAAGGAGGCAUCUUUUUUAAUUUAAAGCUUUGGUGGAUACGGAUUGGCUCGCGUGACAUUAGCUAGAUGGUAAGGUAACGGCUUACCAUGGCUACGAUGUCUAGGGGUUCUGAGAGGAAGAUCCCCCACACUGGAACUGAGACACGGUCCAGACUCCUACGGGAGGCAGCAGUGAGGAAUAUUGGACAAUGGAUGGAAAUCUGAUCCAGCCAUGCCGCGUGCAGGAAGACGGCCCUAUGGGUUGUAAACUGCUUUUGUAUGGGAGCAAUAAGGUCUAUGCGUAGACUGAUGAGAGUACCAUACGAAUAAGCAUCGGCUAACUCCGUGCCAGCAGCCGCGGUAAUA